GUGGCUGUUCAGGACAGCAUUUACUCGCACCUCUGCUGACUUAAGUAAUUGAUCUCUCUCUUUUUUAGUCUGAGACAUAAAGGGAAGAUGUUGAGAAUCAUCGCCAUCUGCCCCAUUUUGAUCUUCAUCAGCAUCUUGGGCCCUCUCUUCCUUUUCUGAUUCAGCCUCUUCAUCUUCUGGAUUCUCAGCAGUAUUUUCUUCCCCAUUCUCUUCUUCACUCUCAUAAUCAACCUCUUCUUCCUGGUUCCUCCUCAUUUUUGCUUCUGUAGCAUCACCAUCCCCUUC
rnacentral:lncRNA from 1 species